rfam:Alistipes sp. CHKCI003 isolate CHKC3 genome assembly, contig: {contig100}
GGCACCAUAGCUUAAUUGAAUAGAGCAUCUGACUACGGAUCAGAAGGUUAUAGGUUUGAGUCCUAUUGGUGUCA